ensembl:lncRNA
CAUACAUGCUAAGCAUGCGCUCUACCACUGAGCUACAUCCCCUGCACAAAUUCCAAAAAUUACUUUGUUUUUGCCUAUAUAAAGGAAGAAGUGUGAGAAAAAAACAAUGAAUGGAGACGUUUCCAAGGGAAAACCUACUAUGACUGGCAAAAAGCUGACUUGGAAAGACUGAAUGCAUCACUUUAAAUAAAAAUCCUUGUGAAUUUGGAGUUUCAAAGUGGGACUGCACACGUUAAGGUAUGAAUAUCAAAAAAUGACUCUGCGGUUGGACUAGAAAGCUCUACAGUCAACUUCGUUGCUGGCAGGACUCGAACCUGCGCGGGGAGACCCCAAUGGAUUUCUAGUCCAUCGCCUUAACCUCUCGGCCACAACAACACAAAAAAACUAAAAGUAAGUAGAAUUUUGCUAAUAUCAGACACUGGCUAAGUUCAGGCUUAAUGUCUUGUAGUGCAGUGAUUCCUGACUCUUGCUAAUCCUGAGCCGGUUCCAAAGAAUGCUGUACCCUUUCUGCUCAUUCCUCUGAGCCUUUUUGGAAUUGGACGAACACAUUUAGUUUGUUUCUCUGCCAGAGUCAAAUUUGCAAUAAUCAAAAGAGCUUUUGAAGCCUGGAUAGCUCAGUCGGUAGAGCAUCAGACUUUUAAUCUGAGGGUCCAGGGUUCAAGUCCCUAUUCAGGCUUGAAGUUUUGUUGUGGAGUGACUUUCUGGUGAGAUGCCUGACUCUUGCUAAUCCUGAGCCGGUUCCAAAAAAAGAUGUACCUUUUCUGCUUGUUCCUCUGAGCCUUUUUGGAAUUGGGUUUCUCCUCAGUCGUCUUAUAUAUUCGUUUAACAAGUAUUGUUUUACAAGAUUACCUUUCAAUCAAGGUCAAACCUCAGUUGGUAGAGCCUCAGACUUUUAAUCUAAGGGUCCAGGGUUCAAGUCCCUGUUCAGGCUUGAAGUUUUGUAGUGGAGUGACUUUCUGGUGAGAUCCCUGACUCUUGCUAAUCCUGAGCCGGUUCCAAAAAAAGAUGUACCUUUUCUGCUUGUUCCUCUGAGCCGUUUUGGAAUUGGGUUUCUUCUCAGUCGUCUUAUAUAUUCCUUUAACAAGUAUUGAUUUAAAAGAUUCCUCUGAGCCUUUUUGGAAUUGGACGAACACAUUUAGUUUGUUCCUCUGCCAGAGUCACAUUUGCAAUAAUCAAAAGAGCUUUUGAAGCCUGGAUAGCUCAGUUGGUAGAGCCUCAGACUUUUAAUCUAAGGGUCUAGGGUUUAAGUCCCUGUUCAGGCUUGAUGUCUUGUAGUGCAGUGAUUCCUGACUCUUGCUAAUCCUGAGCCGGUUCCAAAGAAAGCUAUACCUUUUCUGCUUGUUCCUCUGAGCCUUUUUGGAAUUGGGUUUCUCCUCAGUCGUCUUAUAUAUUCGUUUAACAAGUAUUGUUUUACAAGAUUACCUUUCAAUCAAGGUCAAACCUCAGUUGGUAGAGCAUCAGACUUUUAAUCUAAGGGUCCAGGGUUCAAGUCCCUGUUCAGACUUAAUGUCUUGUAGUGCAGUGAUUCCUGACUCUUGCUAAUCCUGAGCCGGUUCCAAAGAAAGCUGUACCUUUUCUGCUCAUUCCUCUGAGCCUUUUUGGAAUUGGACGAACACAUUUAGUUUGUUCCUCUGCCAGAGUCACAUUUGCAAUAAUCAAAAGAGCUUUUGAAGCCUGGAUAGCUCAGUCGGUAGAGCAUCAGACUUUUAAUCUGAGGGUCCAGGGUUCAAGUCCCUGUUCAGGCUUGAUGUCUUGUAGUGCAAUCACUUUCUGGUUAGGUUCCUGAUUCUUGCUAAUCCUGAGCUGGUUCCAAAACAAGCUGUACCUUUUCAUCUUGUUCCUCUGAGCCUUCUUGGAAUUGGAUUUCUCCUCACCACUCUCAUACUUUCUUUUAACAAGUAUUGUUUUCCAAGAUUACCUUUCAAUCAAGGUCAAACCUCAUUUGGUAGAGCCUCAGACUUUUAAUCUAAUGGUCCAGGGUUCAAGUCCCUGUUUAGGCUUGUUGUCUUGUAGUGAAGUGACUUUCUGUUGAGAUUCCUGACUCUUGCUAAUCCUGAGC